CCAGGCGGAAGGGCAGUCUUUGGGGGAGGCUGUGACCAGGGCUGCGGCAGCACAACCCAAAUGAGGCGGUGAAUUUUCAGGUCGUUUUCUACGGAUCGGCUCUAGUCCGCCUUCCUGGCCCUUGUUUGGUGGGACCGAAUGGGACAGGGUCAUUUGGAGACCUCGACCUCGAGAGGAUAUUUUAUGAAACAAAACCUAAGAUUACUGUACACAUAUUGACACUAUUCUCAGAGUAAGUGUAGGCCUACCGAUGUCAGUUCCCAGCCAUAAUGCAUACCAGUAACCUUAGCUUCAAAACAAUCAUCAAAGUUCUUGACUUUACAGGCAACCCAGAUUGCAAUCUAAAGAGAUCAGGGCUGGGGGUGUGACUCCCAGAGACCUUGCCUCCCUAUCCCUAGUACUACAAAAGACAGACGGACACAGAGAGGGCAUGUACUCUCAAUGACAGUGGAUGACGCACCUCACUUUACAUCCACUCAUGUACUCAGCUCUGAUUACUGAGCAGCUACUUACUAUGUGCUUCAGGCAUGGGUUAGAGUUCAGGAAUACACGGACCUUCCUUUGAGACAGGGUUCCUGCUUUGGAUGUCACUAUCUGAGCAGAGAGAGGCACAGAGAGGCCAUCACAAUACAAGAUGAUGGGGAUACAGGGACAGAAGAAAGGUUGGAGCUGCCAGACUAAGGCCUUUCCAGCAAAAGUUAAAAGACCCUGCCCCCUGGUGGCCACCGGCGGCAUUGCAGACACGGUUGUCAAGAAGCUGAUUCUGAUCAUUCCUCAGAGACCAGGAUUGCUGGGGGCUUGGCUCACACCGCCUUCGUGCCUGGCUCUGUGGGCUGUAAGAAAAAAAAAAAGCCGCAAUGGAGGGAGAGAAGGGAGCUAUAAGAUAGGGUAGGAAUAACUGAGCACCAGGGGACAGAUUUUUCUCCCCAGACUCAAGGCACAAAGUAAAAACUAGAAGGCACCUUUGAUGGAGUCAGAGUCACAAACACAGAGGCCACGGUUUAGCCCAGGCAAUGGCUUUCAAUGUCCAAGUUAGCUUUCUACAUCCAAAAUUAGGACUUAAAAAGAUCAAAACAGGGGCCAGGGAUUUAGCUUAGUGGUGCCGCCACCUGCCUCACAAGUGCAAGGUCCUGAGUUCGAUCCCCGGCACCACAAAAAAACAAAAACAAAAACAAAAGAUCAAAACAUUAAGCCACACUCUGUGGGCCCUCACCCCACAGAGCAGCAGUUGGUGCAGCCAGGAGAGCAGCCCACACCCUGCUGCCAUCACCAGGCCACCUCCCAUAGCCUCCUGCAACUCCUCACCAAGUCCAGCAUCACAGGGAGACGAUGGGGUCAAGAAACAGCAGGCCAGGCUGCCACAGGUCACCCGGUGCUUGAAGGGCCUCCAGGCUGUCCCUGCCAGUGUCCUCUAGCACCUGCUGUAAGACCUUCAGAGACAAGGAGUCCUGGCCACAAGGCAGCUCACUGCACCUCCUCAUAGCUCCUGGUGUCCCCACCUUUGCCAGAGGAGCCUCCACCCAGGGAGGUUCCCACAAGGACAAGGACGUGUCCUGGACGGUGGUGGUGACCAGGAGACAGGGGUGUGACCUGUGCUCUACAGGACCUUCCAGGUGGUGACCAGGAGACAGGGGUGUGACCUGUGCUCUACAGGACCUUCCAGUCUGGAUGGGGACCAGCACAGUUCCAGAGCUGAGAUCAGUGCCCAGCAGUGCUGGCUGAGGACCCCACCCCAUGAGAAACAUAAGCUCUGAUGAUACCAAGGAUGGUCACAACACUCAGGGCUACUCCUGGCUGGUCACUGCAGAGGCCCAGGCAUCCGAAGUCCAUCAAUCCUUCAACUGCCUAGAAAGGGGGACGAUGAGGGCUAAAGAAAAAAGGCAACAGAGACUUUCAUAAUUUCAAAAUAUAUGUGGGUCCAGGAGGUCAAUGUCUCAGAGCGGGCAAAGACAAAAACUCUCCGAGCUCACCACUAUUUAUUGGAUUCAUAGGGAGUAUGAGAUGUCUCAGGCAGUGGCGGUGAUCCCAUGACGAUGAGGAUCUUAUGCUGAUAAGCAUCUUAGAUGAUGAGGAGUUUGUGUUGAUGAGGAUGGUGAGAUGAGGAAAGGUUCUCACAACAGUAGGUGGGGUGAGUUAAGCCGACAAGGAAUUUGCCCCUUCCCUUGAGUGUCAAAGCAUCAUGGGACUAUUGAGGCCUCAUCCAGCCCUAAUAAUUUAACUGUGAGGGCCGGGGAUUUAGCUCAGUGGUUCCGCUGCCUGCCUUGCAAGAGCAAGGACCCAAGUUCAAUCCCUG
ensembl:lncRNA